AGGAAUUCUCAGUACCGGUUCUAAUUUCACAACCAUUUGGGUAACCUUGACCUUUGACCUUUGCGAAUUUGGAUGGAAUGGCCAUGUUUUCUUCCUGGCGAUGGUCCCUCUGCUACUUGAUUUUGGCCGCCUCCAGCUGCGGAUAUCUAGGGACAAAGAAAGCUGAGUGCUGUGCUGGCUGGGAUGACCUUGGGUAAAAUUCGUGUUGAAGGAAGCCAGACGCUACC
rnacentral:lncRNA from 1 species